AUUCAUUGUUGUUGUUCUCAUUUAUUUGCACUUCCACUAUAUAAUGUCGUUAAUUAAAAUAGCAAUUAGAUUUUCCGGAACUAUCACAAUACUUUAAUAGACAAAUAAUUACAAUCAGAAUGGUUUAUUUCUGGAAAAUUGCUCUUCGAUUGUUCAGUCCAAGAGGGAAGAAAAAUAAAAAUUCGAUAUUUUAUGGAAUGCAAAUUUUAACGCACAUUCUGUUAAAUUUCCUUUUGUAUAAAAUUUUAUUUAACUUUUUUAUUUGGAAAACUAUCUUAGAUUAUUGUCCAUUUCUUGAAGUUGGAUCCUCAACUUUUGGAGGAAGAUCAUCGCGUCGAUCCUACAAGCAUUAUCCACAUACGAUGCUCUAGGGAUUUCUAGCUUAUUCAGCUAAAUAAAACGAUUAUUUUCAGGAUACAGAUUGGGUAAAAGUAAAGAAGCUCUGCAGGAUUAGCGUUAAUCAAGCGCAUUGUUUCUAAUAUAGGACUGACAGAAAAGUUCGGUUGUACUUUUAAUUACUCGUGAUCGGGAGGGGAAAAAAAUGGGAGAUAAAAAAAAAGACAAGAAACAAUUAUCGAAAUCCGAUCUGCGAAUGUUUAAACAACUCUAACGAUGUAAAACGAAAUUCUAUGGGAAUACCAAGUGCAGAUUAAGAGGCGAGCCUUCUGGGCAAACAGUUUUACAAUGUCAAAAUAUUUUCUCAAGAAAAAACGAAUUUAUCCGAGCUUUUAACUGUGUUAGUUUUGCCGCAUCAAAUAUUGGUCUGAAGCACAAAAACGUUAAAUUUCAAAUCGAUAUUUUUUCCAAUUUAAGCUGGCAAAAUACUGAUGCCACAAGAGGCUUAUCUGAAAUUUCAACGAAGCCUUCCAGUUCUCUCUCUAAAGGCAUUAUCUAGUCGAAAAAAAAUAAUUCCUACGGAUCUUUUUUUAAAUAAUUAAUAAUAUCCGAUUAAGACAUCUUUUUCUUUAAAUGUGCAGUUUAACGCCAUCAUCUUAGAAGAU
rnacentral:lncRNA from 1 species